rnacentral:rRNA from 1 species
GGGUGGUAAAUUUCAUCUAAAGCUAAAUAUUGGCCAGAGACCGAUAGCGCACAAGUAGAGUGAUCGAAAGAUGAAAAGCACUUUGAAAAGAGAGUUAAACAGUAUGUGAAAUUGUUGAAAGGGAAGCGCUUGCAACCAGACUUGAGCGCGGCGGUUCCCCCUUGCUUCUGCUUGGGUUACUCCGCCGUGUCCAGGCCAACAUCGGUUCUGGGGGUCGGUCAAAGGCCUUGGGAAUGUAUCUACUCCCUGGUCGUCUUAUAGAC